AUGAGCUAUCUAAAGACAUCCUGGCCGGAAUUGGUGGGCGAGCCGGCGACACCGGCAGUGAUGACGAUUAACAGCCAAAGGCCCGACUUGACGACGGAGGUCCUUCCGGUUGGGACCAGCCCAAGCCCACCAGGGUUCGACUCGACGCGUGUCUGCGUCUUCCUUGACCCAAGAGACAAACUUGGCCGUGUUGCAGCCGUCCCUGUCGUUGGCUAG
rnacentral:rRNA from 1 species